CAAAAGGAGGCGAGGAAACGGAUGCGAAUACGGACACUUAAGGUUAGUCAGAUAUUCAUGAUGGACAAGUGAACGAGGGUCGAGUUGAAGAUCAUGGAUUGUACAGGAAAGUGGUCACGUUGUUUGUAAUUAUUUGUUAACAUAGUUACAUUAAAUAAAUGAUGAAUGAUGUAUUUAUGUUAAAAGGGUUGACCUAAACGGUAUUCAAGUAUGAUAGAGUAGUUAAAAGAAAGAAAUUUUACGGUUCA